GUCUAUGGCCAUACCCACAUACCCAAUCUCUUCUGAUCUUGGAAGCUAAGAAGGGUCGGGCCUGGUUAGUACUUAGAUGGAAGAAAGUAAAAUGUACAGUUA
rnacentral:rRNA from 1 species